ACGGCCACAAGGGGACUGAGAUACGGCCCUUACUCCUACGGGAGGCAGCAGUGGGGAAUAUUGGACAAUGGGGGCAACCCUGAUCCAGCAAUUCUGUGUGCACGAAGAAGGUUUUCGGAUUGUAAAGUGCUUUCAGCAGGGAAGAAGGAAGUGACGGUACCUGCAGAAGAAGCGACGGCUAAAUACGUGCCAGCAGCCGCGGUAAUACGUAUGUCGCAAGCGUUAUCCGGAAUUAUUGGGCAUAAAGGGCAUCUAGGCGGCCAGACAAGUCUGGGGUGAAAACUUGCGGCUCAACCGCAAGCCUGCCCUGGAAACUGUUUGGCUAGAGUGCUGGAGAGGUGGACGGAACUGCACGAGUAGAGGUGAAAUUCGUAGAUAUGUGCAGGAAUGCCGAUGAUGAAGAUAGUUCACUGGACGGUAACUGACGCUGAAGUGCGAAAGCUGGGGGAGCGAACAGGAUUAGAUACCCUGGUAGUCCCAGCCGUAAACGAUGAUUACUGGGUGUGGGCAUGAAGAGUGUCCGUGCCGAAGCAAAUGCGAUAAGUAAUCCGCCUGGGGAGUACGGCCGCAAGGCUGAAACUCAAAGGAAUUGACGGGGACCCGCACAAGCGGUGGAGCAUGUGGUUUAAUUCGACGCAACGCGAGGAACCUUACCAGAUCUUGACAUCCUACGAAUGCCCAUGAGGAUGGGCAGUGCCUUCGGGAACGUAGAGACAGGUGGUGCAUGGCUGUCGACAGCUCGUGUCGUGAGAUGUUGGGUUAAGUCCCGCAACGAGCGCAACCCCUGUUGCUAGUUACCAUCAUUAAGUUGGGGACUCUAGCAAGACUGCCUGCGAAGAGCAGGAGGAAGGUGGGGAUGACGUCAAGUCAUCAUGCCCCUUAUGAUCUGGGCUACACACGUGCUACAAUGG
rnacentral:rRNA from 1 species